UUUUUUUUUUUCUCUUCUCUCCCUUCCCCAUAGUCCCUGCGUUGCCCUUGCCUUCUUAGUGCUUAAAUCUGACUCUGGCUUUGUUGGCAUUAUUUCCCUGGUCUUUUCUCAAUCUCUCUUUCACGUCUCCUCCUAGUAUUUGAAUCCCUGUUUACCAACAGCACUGAAAUGUGACAAUGUAAAGUGUAAAAAAGCAACGCAGGACAACCUUGACAAGUCCAGAUAAUAAUAUUUUCAUCCUUUCCAGGAAAAAAACAAAGAGGAAAGCUUUGUAUCUUUCUUUGUUCCUUCUCAUCAGGAAAAUCAUCUAGCUGGAGGUCUCAGAGGCAGCUUCUAUCUGGCAACCUUCCCUGAAACAGAGCAAAACUGUUCUAUGAUUAGGAGAACAAGGUGGAGGGUCCGGCCCAGAGUCAGGGUCAAGGUUGACUUAGGCUUCAGUUCUUGAAGGACAAAGUGUAUUAGAUCCUGCCCUCAGAGCUUGGCAGAAGUUACUUCAUUGCUUGAAAGGCCCACCGUCUGCGUAAAUCUUCUUACCUUUUCAUUAUCUGCAGCGAAGACAAGAUCCAGUUCUCAGAGAAUGUAUUAAAAUAGAAAAACAUUUUGCUGCUUUUGAAAAAUGGUUCCAUGUCUUAUUUUCUGCUGAUGAUUAAGUACAAAAAAUUAUUAUUUCAAAUAGAUUGCUGGGGAGAGAAAAGAACUCUAGAUGGAUAGUGUUAUUCUUUUUGUCACGGUAAUCCUAUUUCUUGGCUCAGAAGUUACACAUCAUGGGAGAGGUGACUUCAUACCUGAAAAAAUUUGUAUUAAACAUUUGACCAAUUAUAGAGUAUUUUACUGCCUAUGGAAUGUUAAUAUGAUUUAAUACGUUUACCUAAAAUCUGCAUUCAUUAAAAAGUCUGUGAUUUGCGCAUAAUCGCUGCCUAAAUGCUUGCCUCAGCCCUCUCUGCAUUGCGUGCCUGAAGAUCGUGGGGUGGCUAGAAGUUCUGAACCAUUUUCUUUUAUCUCUCAGCCAAGGUGCAUCUGUCUAAUGUCUUCUAAGCAGGUGUUAUUAGGUGUGAUUUCUGGUUGGCUGAGAAAUCAAUGAGUGGCCAGCUGCGGUGGCUCAUGCCUGUAAUCCUAGCACUUUGGGAGGCCAAGGCAGGUGGAUCACCUGAGGUCAGGAGUUUGAAACCAGCCUGGCCAACAUGGUGAAACCUGGUCUCUACUAAAAAGAAAAAAAAAA
rnacentral:lncRNA from 1 species